rnacentral:lncRNA from 1 species
ACAAAUGUAUUUAUGUUUAAUAACAUUUUUCAUAAUUUUUCCACUUUUCAUCAACUGUAUUCAUGUUUGUAAAAAGAAAAAAACCGAAUAGGAAACCAGGUCACCAUUAAAAAACGUAAAUCUCAGUUUCAAGGAGAUAUCUAUUCAGUGCCUUAAGAGCUUAAGGGGCUCUUCGUAUAUGGUGCGGACUCCGAAAUCACUAAUUAAGGAGUACUAGUAAAUGUGCCCGUGCGUUGCAACGGGGAAAAACGCAUAACUUGCUCCACAUGCCACUAUGCGCCAUUUCUUAUAUCGAACUGACAUUGUGAAAGUGAUGUUAUUGUCA